rnacentral:rRNA from 1 species
CGUACAGGUACAACGGCUAGGCGGGCCGUUGCCUAAAUACAUUGCCAAGUCCGGAGCGGUAACCCGGGAUUUGGGGGCGUUUGCCGUUGAUUCGGUCAGCGGCGGACGGGUGAGUAACACGUGGGCAACCUGCCCGCAAGACCGGGAUAACUCGGGAACCGGAGCUAAUACCGGAUAACACCGAAGACCGUAUGGUCUUCGGUUGAAAGGCGGCCUUUGGGCUGUCACUUGCGGAUGGGCCCGCGGCGCAUUAGCUAGUUGGUGAGGUAACGGCUCACCAAGGCGACGAUGCCGUAGCCGGCCUGAGAGGGUGACCGGCCACACUGGGACUGAGACACGGCCCAGACUCCUACGGGAGGCAGCAGUAGGGAAUCUUCCGCAAUGGGCGAAAGCCUGACGGAGCGACGCCGCGUGAGCGAAGAGGGCCUUCGGGUCGUAAAGCUCUGUUGUGAGGGACGAAGGAGCGCCGUUCGAAGAGGGCGGCGCGGUGACGGUACCUCACGAGAAAGCCCCGGCUAACUACGUG